UCAGAGGGUCGGGCGGCCGCGGGUGCUUUCGAGCGCGCGAGGAAAGUCCGGGCUCCGCGAAACGACGGUGCCGGGUAACGCCCGGCGGGGGCGACCCCAGGGACAGUGCCACAGAGAGCAGACGGCCGGCCUUCGGGACGGUCACGGUGAAAGGGUGCGGUAAGAGCGCACCGCGCGCCUGGUAACAGGGGCGGCACGGCAAACCCCACCGGGAGCAAAACCGAAUAGGGACGGCAUAUGGGCUUCGUUUCAGCUCGUCGUCCGGGUUGGUUGCUUGAGGCGGCGCGCAAGCGUCGUCCUAGAGGAAUGGUCGCCUAAUUUCCGCAAGGAAAGGGACAGAACCCGGCUUACAGACCCUCUGGCGUU
rnacentral:RNase_P_RNA from 1 species